UAAUUAAUUAGUCGAGAUAAAAAGAGUCCUUAAUUCUUUAUUCGUCUCCGCCGCGGCCACAUCGGCCUCGAUUGAUCUCCUCCGCUUCCUCUCCCUCUUCUUCCUCCUCCUCGCGCCGCCGCCGCCGCCACCGCUGGCGUUUCUUCUUCUUCGUAAUCUUUCCCUCGUUUUGGUGGAAUCUCGUUGCGGGGAGGGGGAGAGUGUUGAAUCGGUGGCGACAACUACGAGUUAUUGCGGCGGGCGGCAAUUAGGGUUUUGGCUUCCUCCUUUCGAUGGAGGACCACCCGCAGGGGAAUUCGUGGGAGAUUCUAGAGGAGGGAAGCGACCUAUUGUUCGACGAAAACCUCGCCAUCAGCGUCGAGGAUUUGUACGCCAUCCUCGACGAAGAGCCGGCGCAGCCUCCUCCGUCCGACGAACAGCCCCAGAUUACAUAUGAAGGUUUACACCAAGGCAAAUUACAUGGAUACCCUGUAGAUGCCGAAUUUUCUGCUAAACCUUAUAUUUUUGGUUCAACAGAAUAUAAGGAAUGCAGUGGGAGAGUUGGUUCUCAAUGGAGUACGUCAGAUAGAAUUGGUGGCUUAGACUGCCAAAAAGAGGUUAAUGUAGGAUUUUCCUUGGGUUCAAAAGAAAAUUAUAACUGUAAUUUUCCUAGGAAUGAUGAUAUAAGACAUGCCUCAGAGCAUGCUGAAUCUAAGCACGCACUUGAUUGUCCUUCAAGUUGUUUUUCACCUUCAAAUCAAGAAUAUGAUUUUAAUACAAGAAAAAAUUUUGUUGAGAGCUCCCGCAAUAGUCUGAUGGUCAGAGACCUCCACAAUCAGCAGCUUCAACAUGCACCGAGCUAUAAUUUUGAUAAUGUUGACAAAACCAGCCUUAUUAUGUCACAUUAUGUAGAAUUCAGUCAUGAUUUGUUCUCGGACAGUGGCCAAAAGGUCUUCAAGCAGACGAGAAGUCAUGACUAUGAACAUUGUGCAGACGAUUCACACACUAUGAUAACUGAUUUGUCUGGUCUAACUGACGCUGAGAGAAAUAAUGAAAGAAGAUCCACUCAGAGGGUUUCUCUAUUUCACGAUCCUUAUUCAUAUACUGAUCCUAGUUUAACUUGCCAAAAUUUGUAUGAUUCCAAGUCCACAUUGAAUGCUACUGAGGCAUUAGGCAUCAUGUAUAAUGCUUGUGGAAGCAGCUAUGCUCGCAGAGAUUCACAUACUGAUGGUACUAGGAACACAUUCCAUGGCCAAUUCUCUCAUCCAGUUUUUUCACAUCAGAAGGAAGAUAUAGUUAAGCAUGAAAAUGAGGAUCAACGACAUCCAUCUCUGAGUUUAUCCAGAGGCAGUGAAGUGGAGUUGGACACGACUGCGGAAUCCAGAUCCUUACUGCAAGACUUCCUAAUGUCAGAUACUGUUCUACCACUGCUAGAUGCCUGUGCAGGGCAGAACAAUUCUGAUGAUCUUAGUCUUGAGAGUGAAUCUAGUAUAGAUUCUUCUUCUUAUGGCAGCCGCAAGAGAGACCCUCCAAGUAGAAAUUCUACCUCUAGUCAUACUGAAUUAUUUGUGAUGAAUGAGUCGGAAAAUUUGUUCUCUGAUUCUUUGACUAACUGGCCUAAUAAGAAGCAAAAUAUAUCGUUGAUGAUAGGCAGAGAUGAUCAGGCACAUAUAUCUCAUUACCACCAGAAUAGCCUUAAGCACCAUGACAAUGGUGGUGCCAUGAGCUACAUGAGUAAUCUUAAGCAUCGUGAUAAUGAUGGUCUCAUAUAUGUAAGUGUGGAUGAUGAUGCUGACACAUGCAUCCUUGAUGAUAUUAGAAACUCUACCUACCCACCACCACCACACCCAUUUUAUACAAGUAAUCCUACAGUAGUAGAUCAGUCUGGAUUUACAGAGACAUAUUUGUCUAGGUUUGGUGGGAUGCGGCAAAAGGAUGAAAGAUUGAAUAUCCAGCUAGCUCUGCAGGUGCAGGAUCUUUCUCAGCCCAUGUCUGAGGCCUGUCCACCUGAGGGAGCGUUGGCAGUUUCUUUGCUGAGACAUCAGCGUAUAGCUUUACAUUGGAUGGUACAAAAGGAAACUUCAAGCUCACAUUGUUGUGGUGGCAUACUUGCUGAUGAUCAGGGACUUGGUAAAACAGUAUCUACAAUUGCGCUAAUCCUGAUGGAGAGAUCUCCAUCUCUUCAACCAUUUCCUUCUGCUGGAAAUCACGAUAAAAUUGAACCUCUAAACCUGGAUGAUGAUGAGGAAGAUGACAUUUCUAAGAUUAAUGAAGCAAAGCAGCUCCGGGUUUGCAGUUCCUCAAUGGCCAGUGUAUUGAAGAGAAGGGGGGAUCAGGAGAUUAUGCCCAUAAAGAGUAGCCCUGCAGCAGGAACAUUAGUUGUUUCCCCUACAAGUGUUCUCCGGCAAUGGGCUGAGGAAUUGAAAACUAAAGUUGCAUGCAGUGCUAAUUUGUCAGUUUUGGUUUAUCAUGGAAGUAAUAGAACGAAAGAUGCCCACGAACUUGCAAAAUAUGAUGUUGUUCUUACUACAUAUUCUAUUGUAAGCAUGGAAGUUCCUAAGCAGCCACUUGCUGAUAAAGAUGAUGAGAGAGAAAAUUAUGAUGGUCACAUGGAAAGUAUGGUUGAUAAGAAAGGAAAGGAGACUUUGAGUGCCUCGAGAAAGAAUGUGAAAGAUGGGAAUGUUGAAUCAGCUGCUCGACCUCUUGCAAGAGUUAGUUGGUUUAGGGUAAUUCUGGAUGAAGCUCAAAGCAUCAAGAAUCAUAGGACUCAAGUUGCAAGGGCAUGUUGGGGUCUGCAAGCUAAGAGAAGGUGGUGUUUGUCUGGUACUCCCAUACAGAAUGCAGUUGAUGACCUUUAUAGCUAUUUCAGAUUUCUCCGUUAUGGUCCAUUAGAUGCUUACAAAUCUUUUUGUUCCAUGAUAAAGAAUCCAAUUAGUCGUAAUCCAUCAAAAGGCUAUGAAAGACUUAAAUUGAUUUUGAAGACUAUAAUGUUACGUCGCACUAAAGGAACUAUGCUUGAUGGCGAGCCUAUUAUUACUUUGCCAUCUAAGACUAUUACUUUGAAGAAGGUGGAUUUCUCCAAGGAAGAACGAGCUUUCUACACACGUUUAGAAGCUGAGUCAAGAGAACAGUUUAAGGUAUAUGCAAAUGAAGGAACUGUCAAACAAAACUAUGUGAAUAUUUUGUUGAUGCUCUUAAGGCUUAGGCAAGCUUGUGAUCAUCCUUUUCUGGUAAAUGGGUAUGGUUCCAAUUCUGUGGAGAGGUCUUCCAUAGAAAUAGCGAGUAAGCUCCCCAAAGAAAAACAGAAGGAUCUCUUGACCUGUUUGGAAGCAUGCUUGGCUAUCUGUACGAUAUGCAAUGAUCCACCUGAAGAUGCAGUUGUUACAAAGUGUGGACAUGUUUUCUGCAAUCAGUGUAUCCGUGAGCGUUUUAAUGGUGAUGAUUAUAUCUGCCCGUCAGCUGAUUGCAAAGUUAGGUUAACUGCUGCUUCAGUAUUUUCUAGAAGUACAAUUGCAACCUCCAUAUGUGACAUGCCUGUUGAGGUCUGCCACUCCACCGGCUGUAGUUCUAACAUCUCAGAUGCAACCAAAUCCAAUGGAUGCUCUUAUUCUUCUAAAGUAAAAGCAGCUCUCGAUAUUUUGCAAUCACUGCCCAGGUCUCAAUGUUAUCUCCCUGAUUGUAACUCUUCCAAACCUAAGGAAGAAGGUGAUGACUGUCUGCCAAAUGGGAUCAAUACAGUUUCACAGGGAUGCUUUGUGACUACAAAUGAAGGAAAAAAUCCGAAACCAAAUUGUCAGCAUUCAGAAAAGGCCCUUGUUUUCUCACAGUGGACAAGGAUGCUGGAUUUACUGGAAGUUCCUUUGCAAGAAUCUUGUAUACAGUAUAGGAGACUUGAUGGUACAAUGUCUGUUGCAGCUAGGGAUAAAGCAAUCAAGGAUUUCAACAAUCUUCCAGAGGUCUGUUACUGUGAUGAUCAUGUCUCUGAAGGCAGCAAGUCUUGGUCUAAAUCUGGUGGUAGCUUGCCAUGUUCUUCUUCUGGAUUUGUGGUGGAACCCUACUACUGAGGACCAGGCUAUUGAUAGAGCACACAGAAUCGGCCAGAGGCGUCCUGUAACUGUAUCACGGUUAACUGUGAAAGACACAGUGGAAGAUCGUAUUUUGGCUUUACAGGAAAAGAAGAGGGAGAUGGUCGCUUCUGCAUUCGGUGAAGAUGAAUCAGGUUCUCGCCAAACUCGCCUGACAGUGGAAGACUUGAACUAUCUCUUCAUGGUGUAGUUCGCAGCUCCUCGUGGCACAGUUUUGCACACAGGCUAACCUCAAUACCUUCCACGAGUCGAUCCUUCUCCACCUUGUUUUGGUACUAAGUACUAACCAGCUUCUUGUGAAUAGCGAACUUAGAUGCAAAAGGUGGAACCGCGACCUUAGCGGCCCCCUGGGUCCGGCCCCACAGAUGUCCAGAGAGGGCAAAUCACGGUUAAGCUGGGCGGGAGGGGUGAGUGAAUAGCGAACUUAGAGAUUGCACAGUUGGUUGUUACUUGGUCUUCAAGCAUAGCUUUUCUUACAUUUAUAGGCGAUGUUAUUUUUAUAGGAGAAAAAUGAUAGAGAAGAUGUGAAAUUCACCAUUGACAUCAUUUGUAAAUCUUCAGUGGCUUUAGUUAUGUGAAAUCAUUUGAUGUUAAAA